AGAUCAUAAAAUUUUUUAGAUCAAAUUUAUAUUUUAAUAAUUUUAAAUCAAAAUAAUUUUGAUUAAAUAAGAUUAGAUGUAACUAACCAUCUUUGUAACUUACAUCACAUACAACAACACCUAGGAUUUUAAGAUCUAAGAUUUUACAAGAAAGUAAAUUUUCUCUUUUCGCUUUCUUCUUCAUGAGAUCUCACAAUGGCACCCC
rnacentral:lncRNA from 1 species